CGCGUAGGCGGCUUUGUAAGUCUGGAGUGAAAGUCCUCUUUUCAAGGGAGGAAUUGCUUUGGAAACUAUAGAGCUUGAGUGCAGGAGAGGUUAUCGGAAUUCCCGGUGUAGCGGUGAAAUACGUAGAUAUCGGGAGGAACAUCGGUGGCGAAGGCGGGUAACUGGACUGCAACUGACGCUGAGGCGCGAAAGUGUGGGGAGCAAACA
rnacentral:rRNA from 1 species